rnacentral:tRNA from 5 species
GGGUCGUUAGCUCAGUUGGUAGAGCAGCGGACUCUUAAUCCGUUGGUCGAAGGUUCGAAUCCUUCACGGCCCACCA